AGGCUUUCUGUUUGUAUUAUGU
rnacentral:miRNA from 1 species